UUGAGGAAACAAAAAAUUAUGCUCGAAGUGUCGAGAAAGUUUAAUUGAUUUUCAGAAUGACCUAGGAACUUUUGGCUCAAUCAACCAUCCUGUGUAUCAGAAGGGAUUACUGAAGUGUCUACAUACUCGGUCAAAUCAGUAAUUGAAGGAUCAUCCCAUUGAGAUUAUAAACUAUCUGUCGUUUCUAUACUCUAGUCUAUAUGAUCGAAAUAUAUCGGAUUUCCAGUGGUGGUACACAUUGAUCGUGUUACAUGUGCCUAGAAAUGGGAGAUGUUCUUUCGGUAGUACGAGUAUAGUACACAGCAUACACAACAUACAUAGCAUACACAGAGCAUGCAUAGAGCAUGCACAGAGCAUGCACAGAUAGAGAAAGAGAGAAAAAGAGAGAAAACCAAAAGAAAUCAUGAAAAGAGGAGAGCGUUGAGUGUUAACAAGGGUGGGCAAAAAGAGAAGGGCUCGUACAACGCUUGGUGUGAAAGAUAUGAAGUGGUCAAUUGGUUGAAGAGCCCGUUGCUUCUUUCAUGCCACAACGGAUACGUGAAUCAUUUGGUGUUAACAAAGGAAAUAGUACAUGGGGAGGAAAUAAGCCAAGUGAAACGAGAUUGAACAUUUCACCUGAAUGAUUUAAAUCCAACUCCUAUUCUUUUUCGCUCGUUCAAUGAACGUAAUUAGAUCCGACAAUUAGAGACGACAGGUCGAUUAAUUUCAAGGACGCAACUCAGCCACGUUCAUUGUCACGAGAAGUCGAAGGUGUUCGGAGUAGAACAACUACUAUAGAAGUCGAACAAUCGAAGAUGUUCAACUUGAAACUUUGGGGGAGGAAAGGGGGAUUCUAAUUUAACUUGACUUUGUUCGUCUAAAUGGAACUCAAUUCUCUCGAUCGAUCUGCCGAUGAUAUAAUAUCUACGAUAAAAUACAUCCAAAACACUUUUCUUUUAUAAAUUAACUCUAUCUAACUCGAA
rnacentral:lncRNA from 1 species